GGCGGUAUAGCUCAGUGGUAGAGCAGAGGAAUCAUAAUCCUUGUGUCCGGGGUUCAAAUCCCUGUACCGCCACCA
rnacentral:tRNA from 2 species